ACCCCUAGUGAGCAAAUCCCUCCCCUACCCUCGUGCACAUUCCCUCCGACAUAUUUGCUGGUUGAUCACAACUUUGGACUUCCUCAGGUACUGGACAAAAUUGGACACCCAGCCUCCCAUCGUGGUUGUUCAUUCCAUGUUGCAUACCUAGGAGCCUUCAGUUGACGGCUAUUGUAGGUAAAUACUGUUGUCAUGUAUUGUUAAAUUCAGAAAUACUUUUGUGUACUUCGUUCAUAUCUGAAUUUAACUGCUAUUUCUGAAUUUUUGAAUGCUUGGGUACAUUGAAUACUUAGCUCUGCUUCUAUUUACCUGUUCUGGAUUUUUGUUUGUCUAUCCAAAUUUAAAUUCAAUAUGUUGCGAGAAUCCAAAUUACAUCGCGGUGGUGCUGAUUUCCCUUUCUCUCUAUGACUGCAGUUCCGUUGCCGAUGGGAAUGCUGAGUAAAUAGGCAAUUUUUCGACUAAUUUAAUCCAUAAAUAGAUGACUAGCAUGGCAUUGACAGAAUUAACUACAUAUUGAUAUUGAUCUAAACGGGCACGUACUACGCAAACAGUAGACAAAUCUACACAUGAUGCUAGUACUGCUAAGACGGAAGUAAUCAAAAGAGGGAUAAGCGCGUUAUACCCUCCAGUAGGCCAUGCAGAAGCCCCCGCAGCGGUGGCGGCAGCAGCGGCGUCCUCGGCGGCCUUCUUGUCAGCCUCGGCCUUCUCGACGACAGCACGGUCGGCGUCGGUGGACAUGGUGAUGGAGGAGACGACGCGGAUGUAGAGGAAGUAGACGAACGGAGGCGAGCAGUCGCGUGAUCGCUUCCCAAAAACCUAAUCGCCCCUCUUCACCAUACAGGAACCGGAGAGGCGGGGUUUCGGAGGCAUGCUCUCCCGUUGACCGUGUACGCAGCGGACGGGAUGGAGUCGUCGUCGGUAGCAGCAGUAAGGGAACGAGCGCGUGAGGCAGAUGUGAUCUGAUCUCGUGACGGCUAGGGUUGGCGUUAGCCCUGCUUAAAUAGGCGGCCGGGUGGAGAGACGUGGGCUGAACCCACGUCCGAGUCGGUAACAGCCCACGAUCUGACGUCUCAGAUCGUGACGCAUCCGUUACGUAUUCUCUGAUCCUGACCGGCAAAAAUAAGCGCGUAGAUAUGAGCUCGGCUCGGCUCAUUCCCGCAACCUGCGGCGCGUCGUGACGAGGCGUGGCGAGGCGGGCGGCGGCGGAGGAGUGCGCGAGGGCAUCUUCUCUUCUCACUCUCCAAUAGCAUGUGGAAGAGAGACCCUUAUAAAGGGGUCCAACUUCUUCUCCACUAGCGAGGUGGGACUAAACUUCCCACCACCACCUUGUCAUGCCACCACCUACAUGGGCCCUUGGAGAUUUCUGAAAUUCUCUUAUGGGCCUAAGGCCCACUACUAAUUUCAACAAUCCCCCACCAGAUCUCAAGGGCACAUCGUGUUCCCUCGUUCCAAUCACUGUUUUAAUAUACCAGCAUUUCAGUGAAGACCUGUUAAGGUUGAGCUUCACCUAGAACAAGUAGAUACACCCCUUUACAACUGAACAAUGGACUAUGCCUUGAAUUGUCAGUUUGGCGUAAAGAAGCUUCACCACAAGUCUUACUAGUAGUAGGCUACCGAAGACUGACCCCUCGGGUGGAGCAUAUAAGUCACACUCCUGGCCUAUUCAUGAGUUUACUAGAGAUCACCCCAAUCUCAUAGACUCUGACCAGCAGUGAGACUCAUGUAGGUGUGUUCCUCCAAAGAUUGCUCUGUAGGACAACUUACACAUAAGCUUUAGAACACAUUAAGACAGUAGUCAUCCUACCGUACAAUAUCCGAGAGUAUUGCAUCUCCAACGGAGUGGGUUAGUGAAGUUACUCUCCUCAGUUCACCACUGGCUUGUUUUCCCAGGUCCUACUUCACGGGAUCUCCGAUCAUAUAGGUUGGGUUACUACCAUGGCAACUCAUGUGGGUCUCAUACCCAUCUCCCUCGAUGCACUAUCUAUCACAACACGUGAUAGCCCUUUAGUAAAGGGAUCUGUCAGAUUCUUAGCCGUUCGGAUGUAAACCAACGCUAUCACUCCGGAGUUUCUUAAACGUCUGACAGACUUCAAUCUCAUUCUUAUAUGUUUGUUGGACUUCAUGUUGUCCUUUGAACUCUUCACUUUGACAAUAACUGUUUGAUUAUCGAAGUUCAUAAGGAUAGUAGGAACCGGCUUCUCAACCACGGGCAAGUCCAUCAAAAGAUCUCGAAGAAAUUCUGCUUCGACACCAGACGUGUCUAAUGCUGUUAAUUCUGCUUCCAUUGUCGAUCUCGUUAAGAUCGUUUGCUUGCAAGACUUUCAGGAAACAACACCACCUCCAAGAGUAAACAUACACCCAGUAUUGGCCUUCAUCUCAUCAGCAUCAGAGAUCCAAUUCGCAUCACUAUACCCUUCAAGUACCAACGGGUAUCCCGUAUAGUGAAGUCCGUGGUUGAUAGUACCUUUCAGAUAGCGCAUAAUUCUUUCAACAACACGCCAAUGAACAUCACCCGGAUUGGAAACAAACCGGCUCAGUUUGCUCACAGCAAACGCGAUGUCAGGCCUCGUUGCGCUAGCUAGGUACAUAAGUGAACCAAUAAUUUGAGAGUAUCUCAAUUGAUUGAUAGCUGUGCCGUUGAACUUUCGAAUCAGCACACUAGGAUCAUAUGGUGUUUGAGAAAUUUUACAGUCUGAAUAUCCAAAUCGACUCAAGAUCUUCUCAACAUAGUGGGAUUGCAGAAGUGUAAUCCCACCCUUAUCAUCUCUCAAGAGCUUGAUGUUCAAGAUAACAUCAGCCACUCCAAGGUCCUUCAUCUCAAAGUUCUGAGAUAGAAAGGACUUAACCUCCUCAAUCACCUUGAGGUUGGUUCCAAAUAUCAGUAUGUCAUCAACAUACAAGCACAGUAUAACUCCUUCGCCCCCACCAUGGCGAUAGUAUACACACUUGUCAGCUUCAUUAACAACGAAGCCAACAGAUGUCAGAUUUGUAUUAAACUUAUCAUGCCAUUGCUUAGGUGCUUGCUUCAGGCCAUAUAAAAAUUUCAGCAACUUACACACUUUUCCUUCUUGAUCAUCUAUCACAAAGCCAUCUGGCUGUUGCAUAUAGAUUUCCUCGUCUAGCUCUUCAUUCAGGAAAGUCGUCUUAACGUCCAUUUGAUGAACAAGAAGACCAUGCGAGGCUGCCAACGAGAGUAGUACUCGAAUGGUGGUCCGUCUGGCCACAGGUGAAUAAGUGUCGAAGAAAUCUUCUUCUUUCUGGGCAUAGCCCUUAGCUACAAGCCUGUCCUUGUACUUCUCGAUUGUACCAUCGGGCCUAAGCUUCCUUUUGAACACCCACUUGCACCCCACUGGUUUGCAACCAUAGGGACGAUCAGUAAUUUCCCAUGUCCCAUUAGCCAUGAUGGAAUCCAUCUUGCUACAGACCGCAACUUUCCAGUAAUCAGCAUCUGGAGAAGCAUACGCUUCUGAAAUAGAAGUGGGAUUAUCAUCCACGAGGUAUACGAGGAAAUCAUCACCAAAGGUCUUUGCAGUCCUUUGUCUCUUGCCCCUACCAAGGGUUUCCUCGUCAUCCUCCUCAGGAUCAUGUGUUUGUUCAUAAUAUUCCAUAGGAAUGGCAGGCUCAGGAGUUCUCUCAUGUUCCUGUCUAGAAGUGCUUUGCAUAUCUCUUAUGGGAAAAAUAUCCUCAAAGAAUGUAGCAUCCCUCGACUCCAUUAUUGUACCGACCUUCACGUCAGGUACCUCAGAUUUCACUACUAGAAAUCUAUAGCCUACGCUAUUCUUAGCGUAUCCCAAAUUAACGCAGUCCACAGUCUUUGGUCCAAGCUUACGGUUCUUGGGGAUCGACACAUUGACUUUCGCCAAGCAGCCCCAAGUACGUAAGUACGAGAGCGUCGUCCUUCUCUUCGACCAUUCCUCAUAAGGAGACCCCAUUAUCUUUUGUAGGAAGCUUAUUCAGGACAUGACACGCGGUCAAUAUAGCUUCCCCCCACCAUGCCUUGGAUAAACCCGAUGUAUCUAACAUGGUGUUAACCAAAUCAGUUAGAGUACGUUUUUUCCGUUCGGCAACCCCGUUUGACUGGGGUGAAUAGGGAGGCGUUCUCUCAUGAAUAAUGCCAUGUUCCGCACAAAAAGAAUCAAACUCGUUUGAGAAGUACUCUCCACCACGAUCAGACCGGACUCAUUUAAUUUUCUUUUCAAGUUGAUUCUCAACUUCUGCCUUAUAGAUUUUAAAGUAGUGUAGAGCCUCAUCUUUAGUAUUUAACAGAUACACGUAGCAAUAUCUAGUGGAAUCAUCUAUCAAUGUCAUGAAAUAUUUCUUUCCACCUUUAGUCAACACACCAUUCAUCUCACAAAGAUCAGAAUGUAUGAGUUCUAACGGCGCCAAGUGUCUCUCCUCUGCAGCCUUGCGAGGCUUGCGAGGUUGCUUUGCUUGCACACACGAAUGGCACUUAGAACCUUUGGCUAAAGUGAAAGUUGGAAUUAAAUUCAGUUUUGCUAGCCGCGACAUAACACCGAAACUUAUGUGACAAAGACGUGAAUGCCAAACUUCAGAUUCAUUAACACUCGAAUGAAUAUUGUUCACGACUUUAUUACAUAAAUCUGCGAGGGAAAGGCGGAACAGACCUCCGCACUCAUAACCUUUUCCAACAAAAAGUCCAUAUUUCGUAACAACUACUUUAUUAGACUCAAAGACCAACUUAAACCCUUCUCUACACAGAAGGGAGCCACUAACGAGAUUCUUCUUGAUGGUGGGGACAUGCUGCAUGUUCUUCAGCUGCACGAUCUUUCCCGAAGUAAACUUCAGAUGGACCGUGCCAACACCAAGAACAGAAGCACUCGCUCCAUUCCCCAUCAAUACAGACCCUCGACCUGUGACCUGGUAAGAAGAGAACAAUGAGAUGUCAGCACACACAUUAAUAUUUGCACCUGUGUCCACCCACCAAUCGGUAGAUUGACAAACCGAAAAUACAGUAAACAAAUUACCGUACCCAUAUCCACCACUUUCAUUGUUGCUCACAAUCAUAUUUCUAGGCUUGUGGGAAUUGAAAUUCCUCUGAUGUACCAUAUUGGCAACAGAAGAACCUUACACCGUUUUUCCAUGCGAGUCCUUUGCUCUCGAGUUCCGUUCAACACUCAGAUGGCCAAUGAUGUCCUCUACUGAGAAUUCACGCCUCUGAUGUUUCAGAGUAGUAGCAAAGUUCCUCCAGGAAUUAGGGAGCUUAGCGAUUAUACACCCCGCGACAAACUUGCCCGGUAAAUCGCACUUCAGAACCUCAAGUUCUUCAGCAAUGCAUAUUAUCUGAUGAGCUUGUUCCAAUACAGAACGGUUCUCGACCAUUUUGUAAUCAUGGAACGGCUCCAUAACAUACAUCUCGCUCCCAGCAUCGGUGGCCCCGAACUUAGAUUCGAGCGCCUCCCACAAGUCCUUGGCGACACGCACAUGUAAAUAUGCGUCUGCUCCGAGAAACACAAUGGUGCCUCUCUGAACGCCUUCUCCUGUUCAGGAGCAAUCGUUCCCGUGGAGACACCGGUGACCCAGAACACGUUCAUAGCCGUGAGCCAUAAAGUGGUCUUUGCCUGCCAACGCUUAAAGUACGUACCGGUAAACUUAUCCGGUUUCAGUGCGGUAGCAAAGCCACUUGCCGAAAAAUUCCUACACAUAUUAGGUUUUUGGAUUGCUGAGUAAAUAGGCAAUUUUUCGACUAAUUUAAUCCAUAAAUAGAUGACUAGCAUGGCAUUGAUAGAAUUAACUACAUACUGAUAUUGAUCUAAACGGGCACGUACUACGCAAACAGUAGACAAAUCUACACAUGAUGCUAGUACUGCUAAGAUGGAAGUAAUCAGGAGAGGGAUAAGCGCGUUAUACCCUCCAGUAGGCCAUGCAGAAGCCCCCGCGGCGACAGCACGGUCGGCGACGGUGGACAUGGUGAUGGCGGAGACGACGCGGAUGUAGAGGAAGUAGACGAACGGAGGCGAGCAGUCGCGUGAUCGCUCCCCAAAAACCUAAUCGCCCCUCUUCUCCGUACAGGAACCGGAGAGGCGGGGUUUCGGAGGCGGCUCAUUCCCGCAACCCGCAUGGUGGCGAGGCGGGCGGCGGAGGAGGAGUGCGCGAGGGCAUCUUCUCUUCUCACUCUCCAAUAGCAUGUGGAAGAGAGACCCUUAUAAAGGGGUCCAACUUCUUCUCCACUAGCGAGGUGGGACUAAACUUCCCACCACCACCUUGUCAUGCCACCACCUACAUGGGCCCUUGGAGAUUUCUGAAAUUCUCUUAUGGGCCUAAGGCCCACUACUAAUUUCAACAGGGAAUAGGUAUGGCGCCUUGUUUGGAUGGCGAGCUAACUUCAACGUCUGGUGGAGGUUGGUUCCAGUUUUAUUUGCACAGAAGUCCCAUGUUGUCUUCCUUUCAGAUUGGGAGUGGAACAGGCGGGUGGAGACGCCGGCCAGGUAUUGCAACCAAUGCCCGCGCCUUUGCUACUCAUCUUCUACCUUUAGAUUUUGCAUUUUUUGCUUAACCCAUCAGCUAAAUUGAUUUGAGUCAUAUACGUGUAGUUCGAUUUGAUAGUAGUUAAUGUAUAUACUGAUUUCAUUUAGUUACAUUAGCAGGGAGCCAUUGGUGGGGUUUGGUAAGGUAUGCUGAUCAUGGUCAAAGCAGAUCAAUCCGUCCGCAUGUUCCAGUGCAGAUCGAUAGCUGAAGCACCACCACAGGAAAUUAGAAGGUGCCAUUUUCUCUUACGCUGGUCUGCUUCCAUCAACUAUUAGCUGCGCCUCCUCCACCAAUUAUCCGUACUCAGACCGUCGACGUGAUUUACUUUGAAAGUAUGUAUUCUGCUAUUGUUAUUAUGUAAAUUAUGGGGAGGAGAAUUGUUUUUAGUUCCUGAUGUUGCCGAGUACUAUUAGUGUCCGUUCUACUUUUGUUUGCCUUUUUUUGGAUCAGGUUCUGGUCGUUCAUGCCUUUCUGUUGCUCUUCAAAUUUUUUGUUUGCUAAUUUUUGAACGAGGCUCUAUUAGUUCAUGCUCUUUAUUUUUAUUUUCUUUGCAGGCCCCCUUGCCUCAGUACGUAUUAUAUAUUGGGUCUUUUUCCCUACCACUCUAAUACAAUUAUUUGAUUGUUUGCAGGUCCCCUUGCCUCAGUACGUAUUAUAUAUUGGGUCCUUUGCCCUUGUCUCAACGAUUCAAGAAAUAAUUCUACAUGAAGGAUCAAGAAACGAUGAUUUGUCAUUCAUUGGUAUCUUCGUAUUUAUUAUUAUCAAAUUUAGUUCUGUGGGAUCACAAAGUCUUCAUAUUUACCAUGUUUUUGUUCUUUCCUUUGGUCUGAUAUAAUGCAGGGGAAAAUAUGAAUAAAGACUAAAAGGUUGUUAUGCUAAGACGAUUCUGGCUGAUAGUUCAAGAAAGACUAAAAGGUUGUUAUGCUAAGACGAUUUUGUGUUACUAAGGUGUUAAAUUAAUCGUAGUUUGUGUUUUGUGUGGAGACAUGUUUCGAUCUACGUAUAUAGUAUAUCCAUUUGUUUUACCAUAUUUUUUUGACUAAUGAAUGUUUUAUCCAUGCAUUUAAUACAAAUUGUAACGAACUGUGAUAUCUAUGGCACUUUACUUUUUGUCUGUCACUUGAUACCAGUGUUUCAUGAUUCAAUAUUUGUGCUUCAUGAAUUGUUUUGUCAUUUGAACAUGUAAUUGAAAAAAUGUUAGGUUAUCAUUAUUGCUAUUGUUGAUGUUAUUUUUACCAUGUGUUCCUCCACGAACGCGCGGGGUGUCAUCUAGUUUUCAUAAAGGAAAUGUGCCAUUCUUUUUUAUCAGCGAAUGGAGAACUAAAAGCCUUAUUUAUUUUUAUUACAAGAAUCAACCUCAGCAGGCUGUUGUGUAGAGUCUUUGUCAGUGGAAGAUGCAGGAACAAAUGGGAAUUGGUUGUAGAUUUCUUCUAUCCUGCUUCAUCCUGCAAAAAAAUAGAACAACAAAUAAGAUAAUUGUUAGAUUAGAGAAUGUUUUUUUCAUGGUAGGAUGUUCUUCAAGCUGCUUAUUGGUACUCCCUCCGGUGUGUUAGGCCUUUUAUGAAACGCAGCACGACCAAGGUGGUUUUUCAUUGGCUAAGUGAUCUGCCCAUUUCCUUCAAUCAGCAUUUAGUUGGUAUUAAUUAUGGCAAGUGAAGAGACGUCCAGGCCCACAGCAUGCAUGCAUGCGCUUAGAUAUGACGCUAAUUCCUCCUCCCUCCU
rnacentral:lncRNA from 1 species